AGCACGGAGGCCGAGUGGUUAAGGCGUUGGACUUAAGAUCCAAUGGACGUAUGUCCGCGUGGGUUCGAACCCCACCCGUGCUA
rnacentral:tRNA from 1 species